GUUAGAUUUUGAGUUGAUAUUAUUGGAUGGUAUAAGAUGCGUUGUCAUAGUUUCGGGUGUAUGGAUUGCGUUAAUGAAAUUCGAGUGAGACUGAAGCAA